UACGGGGGGGGCAAGCGUUGUUCGGAAUUACUGGGCGUAAAGGGCGCGUAGGCGGCCUGCUAAGUCGGACGUGAAAUCCCCCGGCUCAACCGGGGAACUGCGUCCGAUACUGGUGGGCUCGAAUCCGGGAGAGGGAUGUGGAAUUCCAGGUGUAGCGGUGAAAUGCGUAGAUAUCUGGAGGAACACCGGUGGCGAAGGCGGCAUCCUGGACCGGCAUUGACGCUGAGGCGCGAAAGCCAGGGGAGCAAACGGG
rnacentral:rRNA from 2 species